UUUAUACUUAUUAAAAAAAUUUCAUUAUUUAAAAAAAAAAGGGUAAAGGACAGGGUAUUUAAUCAUGUUUUCGUGAUUGUCUUUUAUCUCAAUGGGCUGCACAACGGAGAGGGGAAAGGACAGUAAAGAUGCAUCCUUCAGUUGGAUCAGAGCUAAGCCAACAUAAAAGACAAAAAGUCCUCUCAGCAACCAUCUUUUGUAAGAAUCUGUCAUUCAACCAUUACUCCAAGCUACCAACUUAUGCUCUGAGAUUCUUAUGACCCCUGCAGCAGAGAUUAUGCAUUCUUAGAGAUCUGAUGUUGGUACAUGGACAUCCACUUAUUGCUUUCUAGGUCUCAUGAUGAUGUGAUACCCACUUUUACAGAAUAGAACAAUUCCUGCUGCUAUGC
rnacentral:lncRNA from 1 species